rnacentral:rRNA from 1 species
GCAGUAGCCGCGGGAAUACGAAGGGUGCAAGCGUUACUCGGAAUUACUGGGCGUAAAGCGUGCGUAGGUGGUGGUUUAAGUCCGUUGUGAAAGCCCUGGGCUCAACCUGGGAAUUGCAGUGGAUACUGGGUCACUAGAGUGUGGUAGAGGAUAGUGGAAUUUCCGGUGUAGCAGUGAAAUGCGUAGAGAUCGGAAGGAACAUCUGUGGCGAAGGCGGCCCCCUGGACAAAGACUGACGCUCAGGUGCGAAAGCGUGGGGAGCAAACAGGAUUAGAUACCCCUGUAGUCCCUGUCUCUUAUAC